GACGAACGCUGGCGGCGUGCUUAACACAUGCAAGUCGAACGAAGUAGCGAACGGGUGAGUAACGCGUAAUCAACCUGCCCUUCUACGGGGGACAACAGGUGGAAACGCCUGCUAAGAUCCCAUACUGAAGGAGGGGAUUGCGUCUGAUUGGCUAGUUGGAGGGGUAACGGUCCACCAAGGCGAUGAUCAGUAUCCGGUCUGGGAGGAUGAACGGCCACAUGGGGACUGAGACACGGCCCAGACUCCUACGGGAGGCAGCAGUAGGGAAUCGUCCGCAAUGGACGAAAGUCUGACGGAGCAACGCCGCGUGAGUGAUGACGGCCUUCGGGUUGUAAAGCUCUGUUAAUCGGGACGCGGUACCGGAAUAGAAAGCCACGGCUAACUACGUGCCAGCAGCCGCGGUAAUAC
rnacentral:rRNA from 1 species